rnacentral:piRNA from 1 species
GAAAAAUGUCAGAGAAGGUAGGA